UCCUCUUGGUGAUCGCCCUGCCGGCCUUCCGGAUUCGGGAACUUCUGGAUUCAGGGCCUGCAUAUGGACAUGGCGAUUAGCAAAGGGA
rnacentral:pre_miRNA from 1 species